rnacentral:rRNA from 1 species
AAAAAGCAUCCAAAAAUAUAUAAUAGAGUAAUUCAAAGGGGUUAUUAAGGAAAACUAAGGCAAAUUUAUAAAAAAAGGAGGUCUAAUACCAAAAGCUUACUAACAAUAAAGGAUUAAGUAAGCGCUCCUAAGGUAAACCUUAUUAAUCAAUUACUUCCUGAAGUAAAACAUUUUAUUAGGGAAAGGAAAGGAAAUCAACCGAGACUCCGAAAGUAAUGGUGAGUGAAAUCGGAUUAGCCUAAUUAAUUAAUAAAUUGAAAAACUUAAGUAUUUAGCUAGGCUUGGAAUCUGAAGUAAAGUAGUUUCUUUUUUGGUACUCUUUAUUUUCAAUUUCGGGCUCUUAUUCUUAUUUUUCUCCGCAGGCCGGGGCAAAAAGAAAGUUUUGCAAAAUAUCUUAAUUAGUAAUACUUUAAUUUAAAGCGAAUGCUUUACGCAAUGGACUCCGAAGAUGAAGUGUAACUCUAAAGAAGGUGAAAAAUUAUAAGACCUGUAGGUUUAUUAAUUAAUAUUAGAAUAAGAUAAAUACUCCUCCUACUUUUUAAUGAAGGACUAGGAAUAAAAGACUGCCUUCUGAUAAAUCCCUUUCAAAAAGAGGGGGAAGGGAGGAGGUAAAUUUAUUUAAAUAAAGUACGAUGAGAGAAAACUUGUCGGAAUAUAGGGGUACCAUCCUCUAAGGCUAAGUAUUAUAAAUUUAGCGAUAGUGAAUAAGUACUGUAAAGGAAAAGUUUGAAAAGCGAGUGGUAUACUAACAUGAAAUUUUUAAAAUAUCCCUUAUAUGAAUCCACCUUAAGGUAAUUAGGGACUCAUAAAAAGUCUUCAUAAAGGGGAAACAAUUAAGAAUUAAGAGGUGAAAUAGAUCUUGAAUUAGUAACUCUAUAAGCAGUCGAAAUUCUACAAGAAAAAAUGAAUGACGGCGUACCUUUUGCAUAAUGGGUCAGCAAGUUAAUAGGAGUAGCAAGGUUUUAAGCCUUAGCGAAAGCGACUGGACUAUAAUUUAAAAAUACAAAGAAAAAAUUUGUAUUAUAAGUACACAUAGUGACGGGUCAGUUACUUCUAUUAGACCCGAAGCCAGGUGAUCUUACCAAGACCAGAUUCUAAUGGAUCGAACGGGUGAAUGUUGCAUUAUUCUCCGAUGAGUUUUGGUAAGCGGUGAAAUGCCAAUCUUACCUGGUGCUAGCUGGUUUUCUACCGAAACAUAUUUAAGUAUGACGUCUACACAAAAUUUAUGGAGGUACAGCAAGGCAAUUCCCAACAAGUUUAAGGGUUGUGUACGAAGACGGAUAAGUUUUUAACACAUCAGCCUUUUAGGCGUUUAGGUUGCGGGGACCUCGAAAAUCCUACCUUUGGAAGCGAAUCUCGGAAUUACAUAAAUUGAUGGUAGAUAUUCAGACUACUCAUGCUAAGUUGGGUAGUCAAGACGGAAACAGCCGAGAACACUGAUCAAGGUCCCAAAUGAUUGUUAAGUGAAAUUAAGGACGUAGCAAUAUCGUAUACAGCUGUGAAGUAAGCCUGGCAGUCGCUACUUUUAAUGAUCGUAUGUAACAACGCAUCAGCAGUUUAGAUAGUAGCGCCGAAAAUUUAACGGGUCUUAAACAAUCAACCGAUAUCGUGUUGGUUUAUAUUAUACUAAACCUAGGUAGUAGAACAUUCAGUCAAACCCCUUAUAAAAUAGUGUUUCAUUAUUUUUUAGGUUACUGAAGAGAGAAUGCUGACAUGAGUAACGUAAAAAGAAGUUAUAAUACUUCUCGCCGAAUACGAAAGGGUUGCAAAUAGGAAAGGUUAAUCCGUUUUGCUUUAAUGCGGCCUCUAAGGACCAAAACCAAAGUUUUGGCUGAUGAGUUUAUAAUAGAAAGUCCAUUUUUUUAGUGGACCAGGAAAGGAAUAUUAUAAGUAAUAACAUUUUACUGUAUAACUACCCUCCUUACUACCCGUGAUUCCCCCCUUAUUAAUAUUAAUACGAUGUCGACUCAUCCUAUCCUCCGGGGGAAGAAGCUUGGAAGGGUUCGGCUGUUCGCCGAUUAAAAGGGUACGUGAGUUGGGUUUAAUACGACGUGAGUCAGUAUGGUCCCUAUCUUCUGGAGGGAGAAUAAGUAAAAAGGGGCAGACCUUCUAGUACGAAAGGAUCAAUAGGCUGUGUUUCUCUAGUGUACCAAUUGUUUAUACUAUUUUGUUUAAGACCCCUAUCUCCCCUUCUCUGUUGGAAUAAAGAAGAGGAAAGAUAAGUGGGUAAAAUCCUUGUGAACUUUAAGCUAAAAAGUUCUGUAUCUUAAAUACCUUUAGGGUUAAGAUCUCAAGUCACAAAGUGGGAACGCAUAGUUGGGUAGCCACAAACAUAAUAGAUAAGUGCUGAAUGUCUAUAAAGCAAGAAUCUAACCCCUAGAUACUUUAAAUAUGAUUAUUUAUCUUAAUUACCCAUUGGCCCAAAGAUUAUUUUUGUACGUAGUACGUAGUAUGUAGUACAUAGUUACUCCUUUUUUUUUUUAUCGUAAGGUAAGACCCUCCCUUGUAGCAUCCCUGUAUUCCAAAGGGGUUAUACGAGGGGAGAGGAGUAUUAUUGAGUAUAAUUUAGAUUAAAGAUCAUUAAUUAAGAAAUAGAACAUUUCUAGGUAGGCUGCAAAUAUAACAUAUUGUGAAAUAGUUAGUUUAGCAGUACUAAUUUAUAAAAAAACUAGGUGCCA